CGGGGCGUAGCGCAGCUUGGUAGCGCACUUGCAUGGGGUGCAAGGGGUCGCAGGUUCAAAUCCUGCCGUCCCGACCA
rnacentral:tRNA from 4 species